GCUUGAUUUAAGGUAUAUGUUGGUUAACUUAAGUUGCACCAAACACAAUAUUUUAGCUUAAAUUAAGCUAAAAGCUGAAAUAAACAGCUUAUAAGCUAUACCAAACAGGCCUAAUAACAGGGUAUAUAUUGACUACUAGUGUCCUAUGGAUCUCUUGAUGGUUGCAAAAUAAAUAGAGGUCAUUUUUUUGUUGUUGUAGUUUUAGCACGUGGAAUCUUCUUGUAGAUAAUUUUAUUUUCUUCAUGAGUAAAAUGAACAAUAUUCAGACUGCUAGUUAAUUUAAUGUCUUUUGCUCUCUGUUUCAGUGAAGUUUAUGAAUAAAAUUAUCUGCAAAUUAUUGGCUCAUUCACUGGCCCAGGUUAUACUAUAGGGAAGUUUGAAAGUAGCUAGAGGCAGGUCUGUAAUGAUAACAUAUGUGGAGAAUCUAAGCUAGAAUUGUUAACGAUCAAGAACAUCAUAUGAUAUCAACAUAUAAACACAUUUUGAUAAAUAAAAAAACAAUGACAAAAUGAUCUAAUAUAGCAAUAUAUUAGUGAUCAACAAUCUAAUAGAAAAUGUUAUUAUCAAUAACAAAUGAUGAAAUUUUAAUGUUAAGUGUCAGCAAUAAAUAGGAACAGCGAUUAUUUAAACUAUAUUAUUCUUGUGAAGGGAAGCUGAGAUGAAUGGCUUUGUAAAUGCACUUUUCAAUGACAACACUUACAUUGAUGGACCAUGCUAAUGAGACUUGGAGUAUUCCUACAAUCUGUAUCAUCAAAGAGAAAGAAUGGAACAACAAGAGUUGAGUAUCCAUGCUUCAGUUGUGCGUUCAUGAAAUGGAGAGAGAUGGGAUAGUUUUUACUAACUUCUGCAGCUCACAGUUGCACCUGUAUGAUCUGUAUGUUUUUGCAACACCUUAUAGGAUUACCUAGGAUUAUUAUUUCUCUGCCCAAGACCAUACUUUGAAAUUUGAAUCUUGGGAGGAAAAAGCAGAGCUGGAAUAUGUAUUAUUGUGUUCAUCAUUUUUUUUUGUUUUAUUCUUCUAUAGAAAUCUGUUAUAAAAUGUUGACUAUCUGACUGACCAUUGAGCAGGUAAAGCAGCAUGGAAUCUCUAUAUUUCUUAUGCCAUUAGGAAUGCUGGGGACCUUGCUAUCCUUAGUAGACGUCCUUUCCUUGUUGGCUUUUGGCUUUUUUAUGAGUUGAAAAAAGGGUUUUUUUUAGUUGAAUUAGUUGUGUGGAAAAAAGUGAUUGGCUGAUAUGUAUGAUGUGACAUUUUGAGUAAUGAAUUUUUGUAUAUAUAAUAUUUCAUCAAUUUUAUGUGUGUAUUCAACGUGAUUGUAUAAUCCAGUUUCGAUUACGCAACUUCGUACGGCCUUACAAGGUAUGCCAUUCACUUUCUCUCCCAAUCGAUCAAUUUCUCUUUGUCUCUCGAUCAUUUUUUCCCAAAAACUUUGAAUUCAUCAUUUGAUUUAAAGUCUAUUCUCGAAGACGACAUAUGCUAGUUUAACUAGUCAUAGGAUUUGCUUUCACUUUGAAUCAGAGCAGAGGUUUUGCUAGUUACAGUUGCUAUCAUGACUUAAUGGUCAUGCAUGAUUUUCAGUGGAUUGUGUGGUUCAAUGAUAGAAGUGAUGAGCAUAGUAUUUCAAGUUUUUUCACAACUAAAUUAACAGUUGAGUUGUUUCAAUUAUGCCUCAUCCAAAUAGCUGCAAUAUCAUAUUCUAACUUUUGGCUACCCAAAAUUGGGUCUAACCAACCAUCCAACUAAUGGAGGAUAUACCUAAUGGCAUAUCCUAUGACUAGUUAGAAGGAGAAAAAUAAAAUUUGGCACACCCACACACCAUCUAGUGGUCAGAAAUGGUUGGCCCUAUAGCUUAUCCCAUUAUUUACCUCAUCCUAACUUAAACAUUGAAUAAUAUAUAUUCCUAUCAGAGAAAUUUAAUAUUGGAAUUAUCAUAUAUUAUUUUAAGGAUUAGUUAUCCCUCUAUUCUUAUUCAGAUUAAAUAAACACUCUAAAGAAGAUAAAUAUAACAAAGAAAAUGCUAAUAGCAGCCCUUUGGCUUGUAAAUAACAAUAAAAAAUGUAUAAAUAAUGUGUAAAAAUUAUAUUGAAAUUUUAACUUUGUUGGCCUUUUCUUCUUCUAAAAGCAUGACCCUAUAGGCGUGGACAUUGAUUUUUCUGUGCAAAUUUUCCCAUGCUUUUAGCAUUAUUGAGAGAAUAAACUAUGGCACUUCUUUAUCAGUCUCAGCUUUGAAAAUGAUUUCAGGUCAGAAUGGUUACAAAGAUAUUUAAGAUUACAAGGAAAUGAUACUAACUGAUUAUCUGUCACCAUUUCAUGAACAACUAUUCUUUCUCUUUAGCUCUAAUGAUAUGUCAUACAUCUUUGCACCCAAAUCUUUUCCUUCUAGUUUUGAAAACUCUCUAUUUUUUCCAAGUAGUUCAAGUAGCUCCAACUCCAAGAAAGUAUAUAAAUGGUUGAGAUAUGCUGGUCUCAAAAUGGCUUGUUGUUGUGUUAUCUGCGGCAAGUGAAGAUGGUGAUGAUGAUGAUAAUUCAGUGACUGAGACUUGAGAUGUUGACACCAUGGUGUUUGAUAAACAAGAAAGCUGAUUGUUACAGCUAAGUGAUGAGUGUUGCACUGCCAACAGCUGUGAAGGAUGGUGAUCAUAAUCAUCUCUGGGCACUAUUGGAUCCCAAAACUUGUACGUGGACAGUUAUUUCAUAGUGUAGAUCAAGUGAUUUAAAACUCUGGAUAAAUGCAUAAUCAGAUAGCAAAAAAUUGCCAUCUUUCAUAGUGUAGAUCAUGUCGAUAAAUGAAUCUUAUGAUUUGGAUAUUUUUUUUGAUUUGUAUGUCUGAGGUUGUUAUCAGCUUGAUAUGAUAGAAGUUGAGGAUGAAAGUUAGUAUGCAGGUUGUUUGGUGUAUGGAUAUUGGAUUUUUUUGCUUACUUCAUAAUUGUUGCUUUUGCUUGGUU